GAGCAUCACACUUCCUGCAUUCUGGUGAAUUUCUAUGCACCAAUUUAUGGGGGAAAUAUCUUUAUUCAUGUUAAGGAAAACACAAAACUCGUGGUGAAAAUUC